rnacentral:rRNA from 1 species
AGCGAACGUUAGCGGCGGGCCUAACACAUGCAAGUCGAGCGAGAAAGUGGCUUCGGCCAUCAGUAAAGCGGCGGACGGGUGAGUAACACGUAGGUAAUCUUCCUUCGAGCGGGGGACAACGGUCCGAAAGGACCGCUAAUACCGCAUACGUUUCUCGGGACCUCGGUCCUGGGAAGGAAAGCUAGGUAGCAAUAUCCGGCACUCGAUGAGGAGCCUGCGUCGCAUCAGCUAGUUGGNGGGGUAAUGGCCCACCAAGGCGAAGACGCGUAGCUGGUCUGAGAGGAUGAUCAGCCACACUGGGACUGAGACACGGCCCAGACUCCUACGGGAGGCAGCAGUGGGGAAUAUUGGACAAUGGGCGCAAGCCUGAUCCAGCCACGCCGCGUGAGUGAUGAAGGCC